rnacentral:rRNA from 1 species
UACGUAGGGGGCAAGCGUUGUCCGGAUUUACUGGGCGUAAAGAGCGUGUAGGCGGCCAAGCAGGUCCGUUGUGAAAACUGGAGGCUUAACCUCCAGACGUCGACGGAAACCGCGUGGCUAGAGUCCGGAAGAGGAGAGUGGAAUUCCUGGUGUAGCGGUGAAAUGCGCAGAUAUCAGGAGGAACAUCGAUGGCGAAGGCAGGUCUCUGGGCCACUACUGACGCUGAGAAGCGAAAGCAUGGGGAGCGAACAGG